GUCCACGCUGUAACGAUGAGCACUAGGUGUCGCGGGUAUUGACCCCUGCGGUGCCGACGCUAACGCAUUAAGUGCUCCGCCUGGGGAGUACGGUCGCAAGAUUAAACUCAAAGGAAUUGACGGGGCCCGCACAAGCGGUGGAGCAUGUGGUUCAAUUCGACGCAACGCGCAGAACCUUACCCGGGCUAGACAACAGUGGACCGCCCCAGAGAUGGGGCUUUCCCUUCGGGGACCGCUGGUUCAGGUGCUGCAUGGCUGUCGU
rnacentral:rRNA from 1 species